rnacentral:piRNA from 1 species
UGUCUUGACACCACUGAUGUCGAGUGUGC